rnacentral:rRNA from 1 species
AGUGGCGGACGGGUGAGUAACGCGUGGGGAACCUGCCCUGUACAGGGGGAUAACACUUAGAAAUAGGUGCUAAUACCGCAUAAGCGCACAGUGUCGCAUGAUACAGUGUGAAAAACUCCGGUGGUACAGGAUGGACCCGCGUCUGAUUAGCUGGUUGGCGGGGUAACGGCCCACCAAGGCGACGAUCGGUAGCCGGCCUGAGAGGGUGAACGGCCACAUUGGGACUGAGACACGGCCCAAACUCCUACGGGAGGCAGCAG